UCCAUUUAGGUUUUCUAAGCAUUCUUCUCCUUUCCCAUGUGCUUCUAAUUUCUGCAUCUUCGGUGCUUCAAUCGCUGCUUCAGUCGGUGCUUCAAGCGGUGCUUCUAUCUCUGGUGUCGCUCCCUAUCUUGUCUGUCGAUUGUGAGUUUGAGAUAUAUGGAGAUGGAUAGAGAAGUUAAUAAAACUAUCAACACUUCCUUCUCUCAAAUUUGACUUUAACAGCAACAUGUAUCGUAGUACUUUUGUAUUUUGUUAUGACACAAGUUGACACUGUUUUUUUCCAUUUUCUUGUUGGCUGCAUCUUACCAUAUACUCCAUGUAGUUUAACUUCUCUAUUCAAUGAUUUUGCAUACAAAUACAAUAUCUCAAUCUUAUAGGAUUCAA